AGCAGGUAAAAACGCGGACAUAGCUCAGGUGAAACACGCGGACAGAUAGCAGGUAAAACACGCGGACAGAUAGCAGUUGAAACACGCGGACAGAGAGCAGGUAAAACACGCGGACAGAGAGCAGGUGAAACACGCGGACAGAGAGCAGGUAAAACACGCGGUCAGAGAUCAGGUGAAACACGCGGACAGGGAGCAGGUGAAACACGCAGACAGAGAUCAGGUGAAACACGCGAACAGAUAGCAGGUAAAACACGCGGACAGAUAGCAGGUGAAACACGCGGACAGAGAUCAGGUGAAACACGCGGACAGAUAGCAGGUAAAACACGCGGACAGAGAGCAGGUAAAACACGCGGACAGAGAGCAGGUAAAACACGCGGACAGAGAGCAGGUGAAACACGCGGACAGAGAUCAGGUGAAACACGCGGACAGAGAGCCGGUAAAACACGCGGACAGAGAUCAGGUAAAACACGCGGACAGAGAUCAGGUAAAACACGCGGACAGAUAGCAGGUGAAACACGCGGACAGAUAGCAGGUAAAACACGCGGACAGAUAGCAGGUAAAACACGCGGACAGAGAUCAGGUGAAACACGCGGAUAGAGAUCAGGUGAAACACGCGGACAGAUAGCAGGUAAAACACGCGGACAGAGAUCAGGUAAAACACGCGGUUAGAGAUCAGGUGAAACACGCGGACAGGGAGCAGGUGAAACACACGGAGAGUGAUCAGGUGGAAUAAGCGGAUACGGGUCUAUACAUGCCUAUACACACAAUGAGGAUCUACGAGAAAACCUGAAGCGACCUGCGUGCGCGUGUGUGUGUGCGAGUGCGUGCCUGCGAGCGUAUGUGAACAGAUUUUGGGACAAACAAACCACCGUCAAUAUCACAUUCGUAAAUCUGAGCAAUGCAGAGUUUCGGUCAAUAUAGGAAUCUAUAUAUAUAUAUAGGAAGUAGAAAAUAGGCAGCCGUGAUAAUAGGCAGCCGUGAGUGCGCAACUACGCGUGAACACUUAAACGAAUAACUGAACGAUAGCAUCUACAAGAAAAUUUAUAGCGAGACUAUAACUAGGCCUAGGCUACUAUAUUAUGGUUUCACCCGUCAUGCACUUGUUACUAUGACAGACGUGACCACAGAAAUCUCUGAGCGGGUUAACGACAAACGGCGCAGCAACUAAGCAUGCAUGGCCUCUAUAGCUUCAACAGCAGCGGUUUCCAACCCGAGGUGCCAACCCACAGUAACGUACAGCAGCUCUCGAAAGCUGAAGGCAGAGAAUACGCACGCGCGGAAAUUCGCCGUCUUACACACAGUGCCGCAAAGUGUUACCAGUGCGCACAUACCUCGCACAGGCGGCAAAUAUGAUCCUACAACAAAAUAGCCCGAGUAUGCGUCAACAACAUUUUCAGUGUGUGGCCGUUAUACGGGACCAGUUACGCACUAACCCGGAACAGGUUUGACCCCCCCAUGGUCACGCAGUAAGCCAUUUCCCCUUGUGUACCCCGAAGGACUUCAGGUGCAUUUUCGUUCUCAGGACAAUAAUGCAAUAACACUUUUGAGAAUCGGAAGUUAUACUGUCGUUACCGUAUGUUUAUUAUUAAGUAAUCAAAAGUUUUAACAUUUUGAUUAAAAGCAGGACAACUCGGUGGUUGGGCGGUGCUGUUGGUGGUUAAUUAAGGGUCGCUACACAAAAGGGUUGGAACCACUUCUCUACGAUCUAUACGACACGUGAUACCGAAAUCUACGAAUGAAAACUAUCAGUGGUCGCUAUAGAAUAGUGUUCGGGGAUGAUUCGUGCCUCGCUAACGCUGGAAGGUGUUUCUACAUUAGAUGAUGUACCUUCGCACGGUCUUCUUACUAGGCGACCAACACGCUGGAUGCACCGUGAGGGUCAUGGCGACCCUUGUUAU